rnacentral:rRNA from 1 species
UACGUAGGGGGCGAGCGUUGUCCGGAUCUAUUGGGCGUAAAGAGCGUGUAGGCGGCCAGGUAGGUCCGUUGUGAAAACUCGAGGCUCAACCUCGAGACGUCGAUGGAAACCAUCUGGCUAGAGUCCGGAAGAGGAGAGUGGAAUUCCUGGUGUAGCGGUGAAAUGCGUAGAUAUCGGGAGGAAUACCGAUGGCGAAGGCAGGUCUCUGGGCUGACACUGACGCUCAUGCACGAAAGCGUGGGGAGCAAACAGG